GUUGCGGUGCUGCUGGUGGCAGCGGAGAACUGCGGUGCUCCUGGGCGGUGCCGGGACUGCACGGAGCCCUGUGGCUCCUCAUGAAGUCAGCUUGAAGCAGAAACCUGGAUUUCCUGGAAUGCCUCGGAACCCUCCUUGUCUGUCUGGUAACUGGUUGCCCAUACAGGAAUAGACAAAUGCUGUCGUCAUGGUUACAGCCCCACGUUCUCCUAAUGCCGACUGCGCUGGCGACUCGGAGUGCAGCUCUGAAGAUGCACUGAGACCCUGCAGAUCCAGACCCUACUUGGACAGGGACUUGACAGCUGAAAG